UGUUUGUGUUGUUGGUGGUGAGAGGUCAGUUUACAUUAUUAGCUUAUAUUUCUAAUUUGCGUUUUAUCUUGUGCAUUUGUUGCCCAUUUUUUCUUUCUCCGAGAUGUUACUAAAUGAGUUGGCUCACCUUUUGACAUUGUCUUUUAAACGUAUGUGGUCCAUUUGUGCAAGUGUCUCUUUCUUGCCUCAUGUGCCGACACUAUGAGGUUGUUGAUUAUGAAUUAACCAUAAUACCGUUCUACUCAUUCCAAUUAAAGGUAUCACUAAAGGUCUUCUAAAGAUUCAACCUGUCAAAAA
rnacentral:misc_RNA from 1 species